rnacentral:rRNA from 1 species
UUGAAAGGGAAACGAUUGAAGUCAGUCGUACCAGCGGGAAAUCAACCUUUCGAGUGGGGUUUUGGAGUUUUGAAGAGUGUCAAAACCUUUGAGAUUUCAAAAUUUUCGCUCCUUUGGUGUACUUUCUCGUGGGUAGGUUAACAUCGAUUUCGAUCAUCAUAAAAGGAUUGGAGGAAUGUAGCUUCGAUCUUGUAUUGAAGUGUUAUAGCCUUUGGUAAAUGUGAUGAUUGGGAUCGAGGAUUGCAACGAAUACCCUUUUGGGCUAUCCGCCUGAUCUCUGAUACGUGGCCUUGGCAUCGAAAGCUUGCUUAUGGUAUCAAGGUAUUACGGUCAAAAGGUUAGAACGGAUUACAUUCGUUAAGGAUGUUGACGUA